rnacentral:tRNA from 1 species
GCGGACGUAGUGUAACGGUAGCACGCAGGCCUUCAGAGCCCGACAUUCCGGUUGCCCCCGGGUAGUGCGGGUUCAAAUCCCGUCGUCCGCUCCA